rnacentral:tmRNA from 1 species
GGGGGCGAAUUGGAUUCGACCGGGCAGUCUGGGUACAGGUGGCGUGCCGUGGUUGGUCAGCGGCCCACGUAAAAAGCUGACCGAACAAUAACUGCCAACCACAGCUUGGCUUUGGCUGCCUAAACGAGAAAGGCGGCCCCGGCCGAGGAGCUUAGCCGAGGAGCUCCGAAGGCUGGCCCCCAAACUCGGCUCGUGUCGGGCUUGGUUGGGUGGGCUCGACAUCAGACCCACACCCAGCUGGCCGGCGAGGACCCUGUCGGUUGGGGCCAUCACCGGUGAGAAUCCAAAAAACCGACUACGCACGUAGAAGCCUGUGCUCAAGAUGUCGCGGGACGCGGGUUCGAUUCCCGCCGCCUCCAUUU